GACAACAACACUGACUAUCUCCAUGAGUUUAAGUGCUUCUGUGUCUCUGGGCAUGCUCUACAUGCCCAAGGUUUAUAUUAUCAUUUUUCAUCCAGAGCAGAAUGUUCAAAAACGGAAGAGGAGCUUCAAGGCUGUGGUGACAGCUGCUACAAUGCAAAGCAAACUGUCACAGAAAGGGAAUGACAGACCAAAUGGAGAAGUCAAGACUGAACUGUGUGAAAGUCUUGAAACCAACAGUAAGUCAUCUGUAGACUUGGUCAAGAGUGGCAGCACAUCUUAAUAGAUCCUCCUCUACCAAGACAACUUAUGUCAGUUACAGCAAUCAGGCAAACUGAGCAGGGAUGAAAUUCACUGGAAGAUCUGCAGGACUGGAUC